rnacentral:rRNA from 1 species
AGAGUUUGAUCCUGGCUCAGAACGAACGCUGGCGGCAGGCUUAACACAUGCAAGUCGAACGCGUGUAGCAAUACACGAGUGGCGCACGGGUGAGUAACGCGUGGAUAUCUGCCUUUUGGUUCGGAAUAACUCCGGGAAACUGGAGCUAAUACCGGAUGGUUCCUACGGGAUAAAGAUUUAUCGCCAAAAGAUGAGUCCGCGUACGAUUAGCUAGUUGGUGAGGUAAUGGCUCACCAAGGCGACGAUCGUUAGCUGGUCUGAGAGGACGAUCAGCCACACUGGGACUGAGACACGGCCCAGACUCCUACGGGAGGCAGCA